GCCUACGCCCAUACCACCCUGAAUGCACCUGAUCUUGUCUGAUUUUGGAAGCUAAGCAGGGUCGGGCCUAGCUUAGUACUUAGAUGGGAGAACACCUGGGAUGCCAGGUGCUGUAGGCU
rnacentral:rRNA from 1 species